UACGUAGGUGGCAAGCGUUGUCCGGAUUUACUGGGCGUAAAGGGCGCGCAGGCGGCACAUUUUGUCAGGCGUGAAAGCCCCGGGCUUAACCUGGGAACUGCGUUUGAUACGGAUGGGCUAGAGUUCGGGAGAGGAGAGUGGAAUUCCCAGUGUAGAGGUGAAAUUCGUAGAUAUUGGGAAGAACACCGGUGGCGAAGGCGGCUCUCUGGACCGAGACUGACGCUGAGGCGCGAAAGCGUGGGGAGCAAACAGG
rnacentral:rRNA from 1 species